GUAUAGGGUGUGAUGCCUGCCCGGUGCUGGAAGGUUAAUUGAUGGGGUUAGCGUAAGCGAAGCUCUUGAUCGAAGCCCCAGUAAACGGCGGCCGUAACUAUAACGGUCCUAAGGUAGCGAAAUUCCUUGUCGGGUAAGUUCCGACCUGCACGAAUGGCAUAAUGAUGGCGGCGCUGUCUCCAGCAGAGGCUCAGUGAAAUCGAAAUCGCUGUGAAGAUGCAGUGUACCCGCGGCUAGACGGAAAGACCCCGUGAACCUUUACUGCAGCUUGACACUGAACUUUGACCUUACUUGUGUAGGAUAGGUGGGAGGCUUUGAAGCUGGAACGCUAGUUCCAGUGGAGCCGUCCUUGAAAUACCACCCUGGUAAUGUUGAGGUUCUAACUCUGUCCCGUGAUCCGGGACGAGGACCGUGUCUGGUGGGUAGUUUGACUGGGGCGGUCUCCUCCUAAAGAGUAACGGAGGAGUACGAAGGUGCGCUCAGCGUGGUCGGAAAUCACGCGUAGAGUAUAAAGGCAAAAGCGCGCUUAACUGCGAGACCCACAAGUCGAGCAGGUACGAAAGUAGGUCUUAGUGAUCCGGUGGUUCUGUAUGGAAGGGCCAUCGCUCAACGGAUAAAAGGUACUCUGGGGAUAACAGGCUGAUACCGCCCAAGAGUUCAUAUCGACGGCGGUGUUUGGCACCUCGAUGUCGGCUCAUCUCAUCCUGGGGCUGAAGCAGGUCCCAAGGGUAUGGCUGUUCGCCAUUUAAAGAGGUACGCGAGCUGGGUUUAGAACGUCGUGAGACAGUUCGGUCCCUAUCUACCGUGGGCGCUGGAAAUUUGAGAGGAUCUGCUCCUAGUACGAGAGGACCAGAGUGGACGAACCUCUGGUGUACCGGUUGUGACGCCAGUCGCAUCGCCGGGUAGCUAUGUUCGGAAGGGAUAACCGCUGAAAGCAUCUAAGCGGGAAGCCUACCUCAAGAUAAGAUUUCCCUAGGACUUUAUGUCCUCUAAAGAGCCGUUCGAGACUAGGACGUUGAUAGGUUGGAUGUGGAAGCAUAGUGAUAUGUGAAGCUGACCAAUACUAAUUGCUCGUGAGGCUUGACUAUACAACACCCAAGCAGUUG
rnacentral:rRNA from 1 species